UUCCAUUUAUCUUUAUUUCUCUGAAACAAACUGAUUGGAAAUUGUAAACAUAGCAAAUGACCACAGAUUAAUGGCAAAAGACCUAUGUGACAAAAAUCAUCCAUCAACUGAAUAAAAAACAACACACGGUGAUUACAUUAUAUAAAUAGAACGACAGAAGCACAAUAAAAGUCAGUUCCAUUAAAAUCAAAUACAUAAUUAAGUAAAGCUUGGCCAAUAUCAAUCAUUUGGUUAAUCAAUUUAUGGUCAUUUGCUUUUUCUACGAUUACGUUUUUAUAAGAGACGGUGCAUUAGAGGUUGAUAUAGAAUGAUAAAAGAAAAUAGGUUUAAACAGCAUCCAUGUCCAACCAUUGUAGCAAUCAUGCAGUUAUUCUCCCUGAAAUCCAAUCUCCUAACAGGGAUGUUUUCUCCCAACCAAUUUAUCUAUUACAAUAUUUCUAUCAAAACGUUUAGUUUUUCUUCAAACAAAUUAUCGUCCAAAAACCUGAACAACCCUAAAUAAUUAAACAUACUCUUUUCAACAAUACAUAUAGUGUCAAAAUAAUCUGACAUGCGGAUAAACUGUAUUGAAU
rnacentral:lncRNA from 1 species